UACGGAGGGUGCAAGCGUUGUUCGGAAUUACUGGGCGUAAAGGGCGCGUAGGUGGCUAAUUAAGUCAGGUGUGAAAUCCUUCCGCUUAACGGGAGAAGUGCACUUGAAACUGCUUAGCUAGAGUACGGGAGAGGAAGGUGGAAUUCCUGGUGUAGAGGUGAAAUUCAUAGAUAUCGGGAAGAACACCGGUGGCGAAGGCGGCCUUCUGGCCCGUUACUGACGCUGAGGCGCGAAAGCGUGGGGAGCAAACAGG
rnacentral:rRNA from 1 species